rnacentral:RNase_P_RNA from 3 species
UUUAUCAGCCGGGUUAUCGUUCUUCAUUUUUGUUGAGGAAAGGAAAGUCCGGACAGCAAAGGGCCAUACACCGGUUAAUAGCCGGCUCCUUGUAAAAGGGAAGAGAAAGUGCCACAGAAAAUAACCUCCCAAAUUUUGGGAAAGGGUGAAAAUGUGAGGUAAGAGCUCACAGGUUUUUGCAGUAAUGCAUUUACCGGGUAAACCUUGUAUGCUGUAAUGCCACGUAAAUUCCGGUUUUGCUUUCGGUUGAAUUUUUUCAAUUGCAAAGCAAAGUUAGUUGCCCGUUAACAACAUCGUUUGAUGUGCCGGGAAGGGUAGGCAGCAAGAUUGUAACAGUAAUGUUGCAACCAGAUAAAUGAUAACCGGGUUGCUUUUAUGCAUUUACCUCUGUAUAAAACAACUUACAGAAUCCGGCUUACAGGCUGAUAAAAUUU